rnacentral:rRNA from 1 species
AACGAACGCUGGCGGCAGGCCUAACACAUGCGAGUCGAGCGAGGACUUCGGUUCUAGCGGCGGACGGGGGAGUAACGCGUGGGAAUGUGCCCUUCUCUACGGAAUAGCCCUGGGAAACUGGGAGUAAUACCGUAUACGCCCUAUUGGGGAAAGAUUUAUCGGAGAAGGAUCAGCCCGCGUUGGAUUAGGUAGUUGGUGGGGUAAUGGCCUACCAAGCCGACGAUCCAUAGCUGGUUUGAGAGGAUGAUCAGCCACACUGGGACUGAGACACGGCCCAGCCUCCUACGGGAGGCAGCAGUAGGGAAUCUUAGACAAUGGGGGCAACCCUGAUCUAGCCAUGCCGCGUGAGUGAUGAAGGCCUUAGGGUUGUAAAGCUCUUUCAGCUGGGAAGAUAAUGACGGUACCAGCAGAAGAAGCCCCGGCUAACUCCGUG